rnacentral:misc_RNA from 1 species
GACAUCUCAUAACCCAAUCAGUAACCGCAAGGACAGACUGUAGCUGUUACAAUUGUCUUUUUUCCAUAACUUUAGUUGUUUUAAUUCCGGUAGUGUUAGAAACAAUAAGCGACUUGUAUGAUUCGGUGAUUAAAUAUACUUGAAGUCAAAAUGGAUUUAAAUGAAAUCAAUGAAAUCGAAAUGGGUACUAAAAGUGAUGAUACACAUGAAGUUAAGAAGAAUGAAAACUUAGGAAUUGUUAACCGCUGUCCAUUUAGAUCUGUUUCUAUGGAUGGAAGCGCUGGAGAUUACUUAUAUAAAACACCUUAUUCUUACGCCAGGCAGAACAGUAUAAAUGACUCAAAGGAAUAUAACGAGCUAAAAGACAAGAAAGAUAAAGACAUUGUAAAUUCCAAAUCACAAAUUGGGAUUCAUAACUCGACUUUGAAUAAAGCAAGGAAUGACAUUUCGCAAGACAGUAGAAACAUAAAAUCGUUUUAUUCUAGACAGAUCAGUGCUACAUCUGCAACGGAAAAACUACUAGAAAAAGGUACAUCUUUGGAUAGUGAGAAGAAAAUGACAGAAACUGUUCUUAUCGAGAGUGAGCAUCAGUUAGGAAGAAGUGAAAUUACAGAAGAUCCAACCUGGAAUGAGAAAAGACACUGGAGAAAUGGAGGGGUGUGUCUUUACAGUAUGUCCGGAUGUUCGUGUCUGUUGUCCGUUCUAACAAUUGGACUGGUAGUGUUCGUUUUGCUCAAGGUAUCCACUGAAAAGCAAGAAAUUGCAACAAGUAUGGGAUUUUCUCAUCCAGGCCAAACUGCCUCAGAAGUAAACACUGCCGGAAGUUUUCAAAAUAAACCAAACGUAUUUACGUGAGCACAAGAGAAUCGUGUGGUUAAAAGACGAAACCAGUGAAAUUAUUCCAAGCAGUGUAGAUGAUUGUCUUAAAGUGCCAUAUGGCGGGAAAUAUCUCGUGGUCUCGCGCUUUACCUUCAACAUCCUUCCCGAAGAUAACAUCACAACUAUUAUACACCUUUUCAAAUUAAAAACAAGUGCGGGUGUACAAAAGGAUGGCGGCUACAAGCGAAAAUACGUUAGCGUAUUAGAGAACAAACUGCGGACGAGCAGUGAGGUUAAGGCUAAUAAGGAGUUACGGAAACCAAGUGUUUUUAUAGAAUUUUUUGAUUUAGAUGCAAAUGACCAAAUUUGUCCGAAUGUGUCUAGUCCAAAACUUUUAUACGAAUCAAGAAUGGACAAUGACGUGAACAUAAUCAAAGUAUGAAUAUCUAUUGUAAAUAGGCAGAAACGAUUUUCAAGACUGUAUUUCUGAAUGUUUGCAGUGUCAGUCGGCAAUUUUCGUACGAUUUCGUAUCCUGACUAUGACAUUUCGGCAUCCUUCGGACAUUAACAGAACAUUUUAUUUAUAAAGACCGAAGAAUUCCGAAAUCGCAUACGGAGAAUACCGUAAAAGUACGGAAAUUGCCGAUUGUCUUUACGUGUCCGUUAUCUUUCCUUCUUGAAACGAGAUCUUUGUACCAGGUGCUUCUGGAAGCAUUUUUUUUUUGCACAAUCUGUAUUUGUCAUGUUCAUUUUAAAUUGUUCUACCUCGAGUUGAUUACUCAACAAAGUACGUAGUUUAGUUAAUGUGAUUACUCUUUCUCUUUCUAUAUAUAUAUAUAAUAUUUAUAGUGGUUCUUACCAUUAAAAGUUUUUGUUUAGUGUAGUUCUAGGGAGCCUAGCCGAUAGUAAGGUGGAUUCGUAUUUUUGAUGCUUUUGGCCAAGAAGGUAACCUCGUUAAUUAUCUCCGUACCUAAGUAUAAUAGGGAUGGAGAUCCAUCUACAUACUUACCUUACAAAGCGAUUUUAACUCGUACCCUGCUAAAUUUCUUUAUUGAACAU